rnacentral:rRNA from 1 species
AGCGAACGCUGGCGGCAGGCCUAACGCAUGCAAGUCGAACGGAUCCUUCGGGAUUAGUGGCGGACGGGUGAGUAACACGUGGGAGCGUGCCCUUUGGUUCGGAACAACUCAGGGAAACUUGAGCUAAUACCGGAUGUGCCCUUCGGGGGAAAGAUUUAUCGCCAUUGGAGCGGCCCGCGUCUGAUUAGCCAGUUGGUGAGGUAAAGGCUCACCAAGGCGACGAUCAGUAGCUGGUCUGAGAGGAUGAUCAGCCACAUUGGGACUGAGACACGGCCCAAACUCCUACGGGAGGCAGCAGUGGGGAAUCUUGCGCAAUGGGCGAAAGCCUGACGCAGCCAUGCCGCGUGAAUGAUGAAGGUCUUAGGAUUGUAAAAUUCUUUCACCGGGGACGAUAAUGACGGAACCCGGAGAAGAAGCCCCGGCUAACUUCGUGCCAGCCGCCGCCGUAACAC